GCACAUGAAUUCGAUUUCAUUAUCGUUGUAUCAUUCUACGUAGGUUAACAACAUUUUUAAGCCAAAAUUUCAGUUAGUAAACUAAUAAAACAAAUUUUAGAAUUAUGACUACUCCGAAGUGCCAAAGCUAAAAACAAAUCGUCGGUCUAAAAAUUCCAAUAUGUCGCUAGAAUAACCCUCAAUGGAUUCCUAAACUGUUUACGUUAGUUUAAGGAACAAAAUUACGGCCUUUUGCCCCAGGAGACUGUCCGUGAAGGAGCAAAGGCUUGGAAUCUACUAACUUGCGCACAAAACAGAAAUUCAAUUAAUGGAAUUCAACCAAAAACCAAAGGCAUCGAAAAGGAAAUGUGAUUAAGAUGAGCCUUGUCCAUAUCCUAUUGUUGACAUGAAGAAAAGAUACUAAGAAUAAAAAAACUCCAGAGAAAACCGCUAAAAAAAGACGCCAGAAAACACGCCAUAAAAGACGCCAAAAAAGACGUCAUAAUAGACAUAUGUAAAAAAAGCUUCCCAUAAUGAAAUAUAAGUUUAAAACUCAGUUUUUAAAUCCAUUUUCAAAAUUCAUUGUUUGCCAAAUACUUAUUUUCCUGUAAUCAACAAAAAGGCUCGCCAAAUUGCAAUUUGGUAUGACCUCUUAAGAUCGUACUGGCAGCUUAAGAUCGCUAGCUAAAACAAAGAUAAUAAAAGAUUGGAAAAACAAACUUGGUCAUAACAAAGAGUAUCUAAGUAGACGCAAUGUCACAGUUGGUUCAUUACCUCGACUAGUUGAUCGACAUUCAUUAAGAA